UACGUAGGGUGCGAGCGUUGUCCGGAAUUAUUGGGCGUAAAGAGCUUGUAGGCGGUUUGUCGCGUCUGCUGUGAAAAUCCGGGGCUCAACCCCGGACUUGCAGUGGGUACGGGCAGACUAGAGUGUGGUAGGGGAGACUGGAAUUCCUGGUGUAGCGGUGGAAUGCGCAGAUAUCAGGAGGAACACCAAUGGCGAAGGCAGGUCUCUGGGCCACUACUGACGCUGAGAAGCGAAAGCAUGGGGAGCGAACAGG
rnacentral:rRNA from 1 species